GUCAAACACCAUUCCUAAGAGCCAGGCUCCUUACCCCCGGGGAGAAGGCUGAGAUCACUGAAUUUUUCUUCCCUCAAGCAAAAUCUCCUCCUAAAAAUGUCCCAGCCGUCGGAGGGUCCUGGCUCAAACCCUUCAGCAAACAAUUCUCACUGUGGGUGCUGAGAAGGCGCUGGGAAUUUUCCCUGCGAGUGCCAUGCCAUCCUUCCCUUCCCACUCAAAAAGCGCUCAGGAUGUGCAGAGAGGAUUGCUGCCAGGGAAGCCUCGCUGCUGUCCCUGGACAGCAAGGAGAGCAGGAGCCCCAGCACAGACUUUUGGAAGCUCUUACCUGCUGGGAGGAAACUUUCCAAGUUCAAGGUCAGGUCUGUUUGUCUUCCCUCCUGACAGACGUAAACUGUUAUGCAAUAUUCAGGAAGUCACUUUUAUCAGACUCGAUUCAAUUUCUAAGAUUAAGAGCAUGGAAAAACAAAUACUAGUGCUGGAUGGAAAGUGCUGGCACUAACCAGGCCAACACUGUGUUUGGACAAGGAUUGCUAAUAGGGUAUCUCUUAUUUCCACAAGUCAGUAGGGGCAGGAUACAAAAUGUUCUGCUCUUUAUGGGGGGCUGAUGAUGAGGAGGAGGAAAAUUAACCCUUUCUUAGAAAGAGCAGAAACCACAGCAAAGCUGGUUUGGUUUUUUCUUUUGAGAGCAACUUCUAUGGUUGCUACUCCAGCAUCUGGGAGCAUCCUGGGAUAUAAAGCUGGGACUCAACCCCUGGCAGAAGACAGAGGACUGCAUUGCUAACAGUGCCUGUGCUUUGUUUGGCUAUAGCUGCCAGGCAGGUAAAGGCUUUGCUCCCUAAAAACCCAACUUGCAAAGGAAUGGGUAAAAUAUAGAGCACGUGCAACUUUCACAGGGAUCCACAGUUGGGACAGCAUAACCACCUCAUUCAGAAGAUGCACUGGAAAAAAGAAAUCUGAACUUGCAGAGGGAAGACUGUACCAAGCAGGACCCAAGCUGGUCCUAUGAUCUAACAAGCCCUGAAGUCUUUAAAGAAAAGCACCAGGAAUUGCAGUGGAGGAGGAUCAAUCAUUUGAUCUAUAGAGGUGCAUGCUAGAGGUCACACCAGCCACAGCCCAGCAAACAUACCUGCCUUCUUGACACUUCUUCCAACCAUGGCCCUCACAAAGUUUCAAUAAUCACCACUAUUGAGACUGGUCCAGUGCUUUCUGUUGAUACAGGAAAAAAAAUCAGAGGUUUAGCUCCCAGCACAGGGAACUCCCUUAAUUCAGUACUGUGUAUAUAGGUAUUAUACAGAGAAAGUUAAAAUGUGGAAAUAAGGUGCUCUGGAGUUUGAUAAAAGCUAAGGGAGAACCUGAGGUUUGAAAGAAAACCAUUAGCAAUAGCAGAUUUGCAAGUUCAGCUGUGGGAAGGACCACAAAAUCCAAGCACAUGCUAUAUAUCUUCUUUUUAUUGACUGCUUUGUGGGGAGCUGCAUUUCUUGUUGGAGUUGGGAGCUACAGCCUGCACUCUGUGUUGAUUUUGAUUAUAGAGUGGUGGUAAUUAAACCUCUGGAGCAUUAAGUUGCCAUUUUAACCAAAUGCCUGCAUUUUAUCUUGAUGGGAAAUUGAGAGUGAGACUCAGAUUUUCACAGUAAAUAAAAACUGUUGGCUGUUUCACAGAUAAUCCGUUUCCUCAGCUUAUGUAUGAGAAAAUCCUCCCGUACGGCUUCCUCUACCCUUUUGCAAAGGCACACGCUCCUUGAGGAAGCUCAGCAGCAGCACUGCCAGCUUCUGCACGCUGUUCAGCUUGUAAAAUAAUAAUUAUAAUCAUAAUGUGCCUCCCUUAAUGACACUUUUAAUCCAGAGACCAAGUGUCCUUAUCUCCACGUGAGCAAACAGGAGCACGCAAAAUUUUUCCUCCAGUGAUAUAAAUGGCCAAGGUCAAAGUCAGGAGUAACCCAGCACCCAGGCUCAGUCUAUCAGCAAUAUCCACUGCCUGGCUCUGAGGUAACGCUCUUAUCUACAAACAGAUAGGCAAGGUGCAAAUCUACUUAAUUCCUGGACUCAGUUCUCUGCUGACAGGCACAGAUCUGCCACAGCACACCUGUAGCUUAGCAAUUGGGCAAGUACAGCUGUUUCAGGUUGUUAUUUUCACUGUGUACCACCCUGAACAAGCGACUGAAACGGGUAAAUCCCUGAAAUGCCCUUGUAUUGCAAUUAACAGCGAUGCUGCUGGAGUCAGACCGAGAUACUCAGCGACAGGCCGUGAGGCUGCAGCGUGUGCUGGCUCCUUCCGUGCAGGCAGGGCAUUAAGUGCUCUGGGAGAUCAGUUAUUCUGAUAAUAAACAGUUGCCUGUGCAGAGGAUUGGGCUCAGCCGCUCUCAAAGCGCAGCCGUUGCCACAGAGGCUUUUCAUCCCCUGCUUUCAGAGUAAAGUGCAUCCUCCCUGCCCACAGCAGCAGCAGGUUUACCACAAAAUACUUGCAGGAUUUGCUGUCUGCAGAGGCAGCUGUUACUCACGGGUUGCUCCUUAUGCAAAGGCACUGGGAUGGCAGAGUGAGGAGCUGGGACUGAGGCUGCUGGAGGUGCCCGUCUGUGUGUGCCACCUGAGACCAAGGGCAGCCACAGGGCUCCUUUGGGGCCGUGUUUUCAGCAGACAGUCCUGCAGAUUCACUUGCAAUCAAAGCUGCAUCUUCCUGGGUACCAGAGUCUGAGGCUGCAUCACUUCACCUCCAUCAUCGCUGCCCUCCAGCCAUCUGUUGAGAGGAGAUGCUGGCACAGGGGUGCAGGGACACAGACAAACCUCUGCAAACCUCGGGAGAGCUCCUGGCUGCACAGCUCCCUCGGGGAGAGCUCUCGGGAGGAGAUGCCUCAAGCACACAGACCUGCUCCCCCCUCAGCGAGGCCACACGAGCUCGGGUGUGAUCCAAACCCUCCCCAGCAGAGCGGCAGGAGCAGCACAGCUCCUCACUGCUCCUCCCCAUCCCACCCCAGCUGCAGCUCGGGAUCUCCCCAUGGAAACCUGAGCGAAUUCCAAGCCAGCGCUGUGCUGAAGGUUUCUCCAGAUAGCAACACAAUUGCUGCUGGGGUGUUUGAGGACUCAAAUAGAGUAAGGUGGCUUCCAGUUUGAAGAGGAUCACUUACUGAGUCAAUUUGGAGAAAUCCUUGUUUGCUCUUGAAAGUAUGAAUUAUUCUAUUAUUUCUAUCUAAUAUAGGUAAUGAAAACUAAAGGAAGUAUUGCUACUGAUGCUGCUGGAUGCAGGAUUUCAUACCUUCUUCCCAUCAUACUAUACUGGGAUAUGACACCCUCCAAGUGUAACUGAUAAAUCCCCAACCCAUCUCCAACUGUUCUGCAUCCUGGUUUUUUAAUCCAACAUGAACAAACAAACAAACAAAAUUAAUAUUAUUUUUUUUUCGAACCAAGCGAACUGAGGAAGGAAAACAAACCUAGAUGUAAAUAUUUAGGGUAAGAGAAAGAAAAAGCUGAUUAUUUCUGCAUUUGACAGGACAAAUAUAAAAUUAUCUUCUUUGAAAGCCUCAUGUAAGCUUUAUCCUGCAUUCUGACAUUGAGGAAAAUGUUGCUUGAUUGCAUUUUUUUCCCAGGAAUGGGUAAACUGCUCUGGUGGUUUGGAAAGACAUAAGAAUCUAUUUUUCAAUUAUUUUUUCUUUUUUUCCACAGCCCACUGCCAUUUUUUAUUUGAGUGAUGGCCAGGGUUAGAAGGGAUAAGCCACCACAAGUCAGAACUUUCUCAGAGUAUUUUUCUGCUGUGAAUUUCUGGAAACAGCAAAGGAAACCAAGUUUGUGUGGAGGUGGUGCCCUGUGAGGAAGAACGAGGCUGAUCAUGUAGCCAGAGAACACCUGCAGUCACCAACGUUCUGGGACACUGUCAGCAAUGAUAUAAAAAUAAUCAAAUUAAAUUGGAAAAAUACUCAGAUAACUCAAAAAAACCCUGCAAGACCUGUACAGAGCAGUUUGGUCACUGCUUUCCACCCCUCCCAGUAAGCUGGGAAUAGGUGGUUUCCUGCCAUCCUCCCUCUUUUCCCCCCUUUCCUUCUCACCCAGGUGAUACCAGCCUGGAUUUCUUUGGAGUGGUGUCUCAAAGUUUCUCUUUUUCUCAUCUCUAAAACAUUAUAUUUUAAAUAAUCUCCUCUGAGCCUCCCUCUUCUUAUAUCAGCUGUUGCCAUCUUCACUUUGAGCAACUACCCUCAAGACACAUCAAUUCACUCCACCACCAUACCAGUCCUCUUACAUAAUUUACAAGCUUCUUGCCUUCUCGUCUUUAUUCCUGUUACCUUUCCACAUCUCCUCUUACCUGGUGAACCAAUAACCCACCUACCAUACGGCCAGCCCAUAACCUUUGCCCCACCAGCCUCCACAAUCCAUCUGUCAGCUCCUUCCCAAAGAACAGACUCACAUUCUGCCCAGUUUUUCUUCAGAGCCUGAGAAAACCUUCCCGAUAAAAUCUGAACAGCCACUCCUUUCUCCCUCCUCCAAAACUGUCCUUACAACUCACUUCUGCCAGAAAAACAGCCAAACUCAGCUUUGACUGUGGCUGGGCAACAGAUUAGCCAGGAUUUUCUUCCCUCCUUUCCUUGCUCCCUGCAUCUGCUCUCAGCUAAGCUUUAGCCAAACCAAAUUGCUACCAAAGAAAGAUCAUUGCCAUAUAUAUAUAUUUGUGUGUGUGCAUGUGCUGUAUCCCCAAAGUUAUAAAUACCUGCAGAACAUGAUGAACUUUAAGGUCUCUUUCAACCCAAAGCAUUCUACCAUGAUUCUUUGAUGAUUAAUUCGUAUCACAGUUAAAAUAUUCUUUAUAUAGUAAUAUAGUUGAAUUAAUAAGAAUAAAGCCCAGAGGAAGGAUAUAGAAAUCUCUUGCAAGUAUUCCCCAUGGCUAGAGCACAUGAUGCAUCUGAAAAAUGCAGCUGAGGUGUGAGGACACAACCAAAGUGACUGUGUCAGGGUGGGUCUGUUGUGCCCAAAUGUCCCUUCUCCUGUUGUCGUGAUCUGGGACAAACAGCAAGUGGAAAAGGGCCAGGUAUGUUCCCAGAAAGGCUGAGGCCAUGGCCAAGUAAGAGGCUUGGAGUAUGUGCCAGAGUGGAUGUUGCUUUGGUUCCAGGUAAAAUAUCUGGUCUAAAAUAUUGGAUGUUGGGAGCUGAGUGUGUCACUUGGCUGGAGAGUCUGAGGCACUUACAAAAAUCCCAUUAGGAUGUCUUCAAUGUCCUUAAAAAAGCUAUUUCUAAAUAGUUACAUAAAUUGCCUUUUUUUUUUUUAAAUCAGUACAAACUGCAUAAUUUCUAUGAUUCUAUGUAGAGUGAAAUACAAGAGCAGAGAGCACUGAAAGUGGUGCUAUCAGGUGUGGGAGCAAGUGACCACCAGCAUGCCCAGAAGCUCCUGUAUUUCCAUGGUCCAGCCCAUCACAAAGCUUCCAGACAGUCAGAAGCAUCCUGGUUUCCCUGUACUUUAAACCAAACUUGUUUGCAGCAAAACUCAGCGUUUUCAGCCUUAACUUUCUAAACCAAGCCCAUAUUACGACAGCUAAAAUGUCAGAGCUAAUUAAGAAGAGGAAGCCAAGAAUAAACCAGCCAAGAUGUGCAUCUGCCACCGAGGAGAAACCCCGUUCCUGCAGUUCCUGCCGCCCGCGCCAGGACCCGCCGUCACACCACGUCCUCCCGGGAGCACAGAGCUGGCUGGCAGUUUGGUCAAACCCUGGAUGAUAUCCUGCAGUGCUGGCUUCCCUUGUGGUUGCAAAAAAAAAAAAAGAAAGAAGCCUUUAAAGACAUGAUUUUAAAUGAUGCCCAGGGGUUUCUUUAAGGAAUAGGUGGCCAAAUUCCACCCAGCCCGCUGGAGCACCAGUGGGGCUGCACAGCAGGUAAGAGAGCACGGUGUUUGGGCAAUUAGUUUUAACCAUCAUUAUUUAAUAUGGAUGUCAUAUUGACUGCACAUAUACAUUCUGGCAUGGGGAAUGAAGUUACAUUGAUUUAUUAAGUUGAUAGUGUGCACGGGUGCCAAGCUGCCAGGUCAUUGAUCAGCUGCCUGGGCUGAACUUCAGUGUGUAAUUUCCAGCACAAUGUGACUGAUCAGCAAUACCAUAAUUGGUUGCAAAUGUCCUUCCUUCUAUUUGUUUUGUUAAGUGGCUUUUUCAUUAACACAGCAGAGCCAAGGAAAUAAAUAUGACUUUACUAUUGGACUGAAGGCAGAGAAUAGUUGAGAACUGGAUGCAGACUGGGAUGGGACUGUGCAGCAUUGUCAAGCCAGCUCUUUUUUGUUAUAAAUUCUCUAUUUUGCUGCAUUUGGGGGUCUGGUUGCUUCAGAAGAGAUAGCCUCUGGCUAGAAGGGACUUGGCCAACGCUAUGCUCAGUAAAGUACAAAUUUAUUGUAUUUAUGCCCCCAAACACCCUGAGUCAAUAGGUUUAUUAUUAGGCCAAGCCAUGAUGUCUCUACUUAGAAUAUGGCCCUCAGUUGUUCUUGCUAAGAGAGGAAACCAAGUCAAAUCCCUGGGAACAGGCUCUCUGCUCCAUAGAGCAACACCCCCAGGCAUCUGAAUGAGCUGGGAAACUCCGAACCAGGCACAAAGACUUGAAGGGAGGUGGCACCUCCCUCCUCCAACACCAAAACCAAGGCUGAAACAGGUCCCUUCUCCAGAGCAUCAGCCCUGCACUUCUGCAGGACCACAUGGAAUGAGCCUUGCUCUUUGAAAGAGCAAAAAAUGCCAGAUGUGGUCUAAGUGGGGCUAAGUGAGUUGCAAAGCUCCUGAAAAUAUUGACAAACAUUGUGCCUGUGAGCAAGCCCAAUUAUUGGAACAGAAGGGCAGGAGUGCACUGCUGUGGCACCAGCUAUCCCAUGAAAUAGCUCUGGGCAUCACCAGGCUAUCACCUGCCCUUUCUUAUUUCCAGCAGAUACAUAAACCAUUGUUUUCUGUGUGUCUGACUCCUCAGCACCUGCUUUGUAAUGCUCUCUCUCUCUUAUUUUACCCCAUUCUAUCAAUGUCAGCCCAUUUCUGGCUAUAUUCUAAACAUACAGAACCGUGCAGGACCAGAGGAUGAUUAGUGGUUAUCUGAUGACUUUCAACAGCAAUGAAACAUUAUUACAGACCUUCCACAUGAGUCACCACGAUGCAUUACAGGAGCAAAGGCAAUAAAAAAAUAAAUGUCAAAGAAUAAAGGUAUUGAGUCAGGAGAGAAGAACUAAUCCAUUAUUUUUCCACCACUUUCAGCAGUUUUGGACUUUAUACCUUUGGUACUUUUCAUCCACUGGACUCUGCCAAAUAGAGCCAUUGUUUUUCUCCUGUUAGCUCCCUGAAAGUGUCUGGCAAUGGCUUACUAAAGCCUAAGCUCCUUACCCAAUGUGUGUUCUUUGAACUAUCCCAUUUAAAUCUCCAGGACACCAGCAUGUUGCAAACAGGCACACUCCACUAGGUGAUUCUGAAACAUGUCCACAAAAGAAAUCAGGAUGGAAGUGUUUGAUACCUAUUUCUUUUUUUUAAAGUUUAAUUCUGUUGCAGGUUUCAAAGGACUCUGGACUGCUGCUCUCAGACCUGCAGGGCUGCUGGAGCACCAGCACUGGGGAUGAUGCAGCUUGACUGAAGAGGUGGUGGACAAAGCAUCACUCCCUACCCAUUCAGAGGACACAGGGCUGAGGACUGUGAUUUUAUCUGUGCUUUAUGAAGAGCUCAGCAUAGUCAUUACUCAGCAAAUAACUGAAAGUAACAGGUUUGUAAUUGGUUUGUUCAGACAGUUGUAAAUUAUUAGCAUUUACUAUGCCCUGGUGCGUGUACAACCCAGGGAAAACACCCUUCUUGUAGGAGCCUGUCCUGCAACUUCUGCUCAGAGCAUUUGCUGCUGUGGGUGGGGUCACAGAAACCACCACCACCAUCAUUGCUGUGAGGAAGCAGCAGGCACCCUGCCCCUGCACAGAAUUUGGAAAGUGCUUUUCAGUGCCCCAGUGCCUGGACCAUGCCAGGCCCCUCCACAUCCCAUCCCCACCUGGCUGCACAGCAGCUCUUCCCACACUGCCAGCUGCUUCUGUCCUGUCUAACUGCUCCUUCCAAAGCCUGAAUCCCAAUUUCACGGGAUCACAACCUCCCCAAAAUCCAGAGCAGUGCUCCCAGCAAUGCACAGGGCAAACCAGAGGAUCACUUUUCAUGCAAAACACAACAUAAAUGUGCCCCAAAGGACUGGAGGGGAUUAACUGAGCCUGGAGUUUUUUCACCCCUGCUCUUCACGGGGAAGGAGGUCGGUUUGGUUUGCAGCUAUUCCAGAAGUUCUACAUGAGAGGGAAAUGCUCACCAGCUCUCAAUGAUCUGUCAAGGGCAGCGGCUGCUUCUUGGCAGGAGCCUCUGCUGAAACACCAGCGAGCAUCUCUCCCACUCCCAGCACAGCUCUGCUGCCAGUGACUAAGCAGUUUCUAUAAAUCAAGCUGCAGCAGAGUUCAGAAGCCUAAUAAUAAUCUGAAAACGUACAAUAAUAAUAAUAUGGUGGUUUUAAUGUUAAGAGGGUCACAGAUAAGUGUAAUAGGCGUUCUGAUGUUGAGACUUGUAGCUUGGUUUUGAAUAAUUUUAACACUCUAUUUGAUGUCUAGUCUCAGAGCACUAGAAACUGGAAUUAAACAAUGCAAUUAAAACACA